rnacentral:rRNA from 1 species
AUGAGUAGGGCGGGACACGUGGUAUCCUGUCUGAAUAUGGGGGGACCAUCCUCCAAGGCUAAAUACUCCUGACUGACCGAUAGUGAACCAGUACCGUGAGGGAAAGGCGAAAAGAACCCCGGCGAGGGGAGUGAAAAAGAACCUGAAACCGUGUACGUACAAGCAGUGGGAGCACAGGUUUACCUGUGUGACUGCGUACCUUUUGUAUAAUGGGUCAGCGACUUAUAUUCUGUAGCAAGGUUAACCGAAUAGGGGAGCCGGAGGGAAACCGAGUCUUAAUUGGGCGUUAAGUUGCAGGGUAUAGACCCGAAACCCGGUGAUCUAGCCAUGGGCAGGUUGAAGGUUGGGUAACACUAACUGGAGGACCGAACCGACUAAUGUUGAAAAAUUAGCGGAUGACCUGUGGCUGGGGGUGAAAGGCCAAUCAAACCGGGAGAUAGCUGGUUCUCCCCGAAAGCUAUUUAGGUAGCGCCUCGUGAAUUCAUCUCCGGGGGUAGAGCACUGUUUCGGCUAGGGGGCCAUCCCGGCUUACCAACCCGAUGCAAACUGCGAAUACCGGAGAAUGUUAUCACGGGAGACACACGGCGGGUGCUAACG